rnacentral:lncRNA from 1 species
ACUGAUCAUGACUGAAGAAUUUGAAAAUGAAAAAGAACUACAAACUAGAGACUGGUCCUAAAUAAAUACCUAAAUCAAAUUCCUGAAGAAAUGAAACAAAAAAAUUAAAUAUUAUGUCCUUGCUUCCUCCCCGUAGGGUGAUGAACAAGCUUGCUGUAGCCGGUAAAAUUCUCUCAGCUUAGCGUAAGACAUAUCUUUAACCAAGUCGUCACAUUUAUUAUCGAUGAUUGACAAAGCUACACAGCAGUCAGCUGCAUUUAUUUUGGCUAUACCACUUUCUGAUGGAAUGAAUUGUUUUUCAUAAGGAG